UACGAAGGGGGCUAGCGUUGCUCGGAAUCACUGGGCGUAAAGCGCACGUAGGCGGCUUUCUAAGUCAGGGGUGAAAUCCUGGAGCUCAACUCCGGAACUGCCUUUGAAACUGCAUCGCUUGAAUCCGGGAGAGGUGAGUGGAAUUCCGAGUGUAGAGGUGAAAUUCGUAGAUAUUCGGAAGAACACCAGUGGCGAAGGCGGCUCACUGGACACAUAUUGACGCUGAGGUGCGAAAGCGUGGGGAGCAAACAGG
rnacentral:rRNA from 1 species